rnacentral:rRNA from 1 species
AGCGAACGUUUGCGGCGGGCCUAACACAUGCAAGUCGAACGGGCUGUCCUUCGGGGCAGUCAGUGGCGCACGGGUGCGUAACACGUAGGUAAUCAACCCUCGGGUUCGGGAUAACACUGCGAAAGAGGUGCUAAUACCGGAUGCGACGGUCAGUUCUUCGGAGCUGGUCGGGAAAGAUCCGCAAGGAUUGCCCGAGGACGAGCCUGCGGCCCAUCAGCUUGUUGGUGAGGUAAAAGACUCACCAAGGCUAAGACGGGUAGCUGGUCUGAGAGGAUGAUCAGCCACACUGGAACUGAGACACGGUCCAGACUCCUACGGGAGGCAGCAGUGGGGAAUAUUGCGCAAUGGACGAAAGUCUGACGCAGCCACGCCGCGUGAGCGAUGAAGGCCCUCGGGGUCGUAAAGCUCUGUGGGGGAGAGAAGAAUAAAGCCGGUGAAGAGCCGGCCCUGACGGUAUCUCCUUAGCAAGCACCGGCUAACUCCGUGCCAG